GUACUAGCUUGCUGAUUCCUCCUUCUUGUAGAACCGUAAUGCCAUUAAUUUGGUGUUGCGGGGAAAUAGGACUGUUACUUUGAAAAAAUUAGAGUGUUUAAAGCAGGCUAGCGCCUGAAUACAUUAGCAUGGAAUAAUGAAAUAGGACGUUCGAACCUAUUUUGUUGGUUUCUAGGAUUGACGUAAUGAUUAAUAGGGAUAGUUGGGGGCAUUAGUAUUCAAUUGUCAGAGGUGAAAUUCUUGGAUUUAUUGAAGACUGACUACUGCGAAAGCAUUUGCCAAGGAUGUUUUCAUUAAUCAAGAACGAAAGUUAGGGGAUCGAAGACGAUCAGAUACCGUCGUAGUCUUAACCAUAAACUAUGCCGACUAGGGAUCGGAUGAUGUUAAUUUUUUAAUGACUCAUU
rnacentral:rRNA from 1 species